GGGGAUUUAGCUCAGUGGUAGAGCACUUGCCUAGCAAGCACAAGCCCCUGGGUUCAGUCCCCA
rnacentral:tRNA from 1 species